CCUACGGGGGGCUGCAGUGGGGAAUAUUGGACAAUGGGCGAAAGCCUGAUCCAGCCAUGCCGCGUGUGUGAAGAAGGCCUUCGGGUUGUAAAGCACUUUCAGUGGGGAAGAAAGCCUUGGGGCUAAUACCCUCGAGGAAGGACAUCACCCACAGAAGAAGCACCGGCUAACUCCGUGCCAGCAGCCGCGGUAAUACGGAGGGUGCGAGCGUUAAUCGGAAUUACUGGGCGUAAAGCGCGCGUAGGUGGUCUGAUAAGCCGGUUGUGAAAGCCCCGGGCUCAACCUGGGAACGGCAUCCGGAACUGUCAGGCUAGAGUGCAGGAGAGGAAGGUAGAAUUCCCGGUGUAGCAGUGAAAUGCGUAGAGAUCGGGAGGAAUACCAGUGGCGAAGGCGGCCUUCUGGACUGACACUGACGCUGAGGUGCGAAAGCGUGGGUAGCAAACAGGAUUAGAUACCCCUGUAGUC
rnacentral:rRNA from 1 species